ACCUUCUAAUUUAUUUCUUAUCCUCAACCUUCUAAUCUAGACAGACUGCUAGCUAGCCUAAGAUUUUCUGAGCCAGCUGGAUGGACGAGCGGUAGCUCCUGUACAAUUCAGUGUAGUAGCGAAGUUAAAUGCUUAGAUUUUAUAUAAACAAAUUGACCUUGGUGCCUGUGGCUCCAAUUUGAUCGAUGCCCGUCAUCGUCUGCCCCAGUGCCCCCUUUCUUCUCUUAUUACUCCUGUAGUCCUGUGGGCGCUAACCCUAGAAGCAUCUCAGUCCGUGAACACAUGCCACCUUCCAUCUUAUAGUUUAGCUCACCAGGUAUUUUCUGUACCCGUAUAUCUAGCACUUACGCUACAUUCCAGAAUUGAGCUAUACAGUAUGUUGGUAUUCCUUUUCUUCUAUAUGACUACUGUAGACCACCAAUCAUGUAUGACUGUUGUAGAUCACACUUGGACUAGGGAACUGAUUCUGUUUAUUCUGCAUGUAUCGGUUCUCAUCCUUGAUACAAUGUGUUGCUACUUUCCUUCCGUGUCAAAUAUCGACAGAGAAAAGAAGAUGUUCACAUGGAUUGGGUUAUGCAUUUUUAAUUGGUUCUUUGGUCCAGACAGAUGCUUCUAAUAAUAUCAGUGCAUUCUUGAUUUUAAGUUAGGAUUUCCAUUCCCCCUGUUAGUCAGCAUGCAAUUCACUUUGCCACAUCUGUUGCACAUUGCAGGCUCCAGCAAUUUUUUGGUACAGAAAGGACGCCAGAAAAUCAUAAUCUGAGCAAUUUGCCGCCAGCGGUGCAGGAGGAGGUGAGGAGCAAGAGGAGGAACUGGGCAUGGAAGAUUCGAUGAUGAAGACUUUGUGAGGUACUUGCCUCUCCAACCGUUGAAGUCGUUGAUGAGAAGACUGACUAUAUGCUCCUCGCAUUGCCCAGUAAAGAGGGGUUUAUGCAAAACUGGCGAUGGAGAAAUGGGUUAGCAAAUUAAUUGAGGGAACUAGGCGACGGCCAACGGGCUUCAGUUCCGAACGCCAUCCCAAGUCACAAGGGUGCGUUGUUUUUAUUUGGGACUUAGCAACUUCCUGCUUCAUGAGAUAUCUUCCAGGAUUGUUGUUCUAAUAAUGCUAUUGAGAUAUAUUCCUGGAGUAUUGUAGUUCACUUUUUUUAAGAUGGAUGCAGUGAUCCAGAAAGAAGAAGAGCAAGGUGAGUGUUCAUAACCCUCGGUUAUGUUCAUAGGAGCCUAUAGCUAUCUUCCUGUGUAUAGAUCGCCUCUUUUGAAAUUCUGAAUUUUAACAUCCCACAAAUACUGAUACAUAAAUACAUCUCAAUUUUCUCAUACAACCAACCCCCAUACCUGUUUAGUAUGUAUUUAUCUAUCCUUGGUUGGCUAUACUGAUUUGUUUCAUCAAUGUAAACCAUAGAUAAUUCAGACAUUUACUUUGCUCUUCAUUAAAAGUAGCAUAUGCUCAUUAGUACCUCCAUUUUCCACCCAUGUUUUCUUUCCUGGAUCAACAUAACUACCAAAAAAUCCUAGGUACAUGUAAUAAAUGCAAAUUGUUGUUUAUUUACAAAAUAAGGCAUGAGGAAGGCGUAUGGUUGCCUAUUUAUUCUUCUCCAAGCCGAUUGUCUAAAUCUUGCUAUUGUUGAUGCAAUAUAUGAUCCACUUUGUACAUUUUUUUUGAUGCAUUUUACUUGACGCAUGAUGCUAUGGUUUUAUCCACUAUUGUAUCCAUUAUCCUAAAUGAUGUGGUUUUCUCUGGAAUUCCUUUAGAUGCAAAGGUGGUUCAAGGUUAUGAUACUAUUUGCAUUGCAAUGGACCAUCUAGAUUGUCUGUACUCUCCAGAAUUUAUUCAUAAUGUCGGUCUUACCAACUUCCUGCUAUCAUGAGAUAUCUUCCAGGAUUGCUGUUCUAAUAAUGCUAUUGAGAAGUAUUAAUCAGUCCAUUGGGAUAUGCAAUGGUAUUAAUCGGUCCAUUUGAAUAAGCGAAUGCUUAUGGAGGACAGGAUUAUGGCUGAAAGCUAUCAAGGAGAGUGUGUAUACCGUUUUUAAGUGGCCAAUCACGAUAUGCAUGGUGCAAAAUGCACCGUUUUUAAGUGGCAUUUCCCUUUAUAACACUGGUACUAUUCAAUUCAUCUAUGCAUUGAUUAUAAUAGAGGUAAAGAUAAGAUUCUUGAUCACAUUGGUGUCUACUUAGUACACAUUUUUCACGGACAGUUUUAAGUUGCUGCCGCGAGAGCAACAUCAAGAAAAAGGCUUUAGAUACUUGCACUAGAUGACACUGGUACACCAUCUAGUGAGACAAGAAAUAGUGUGUACGAUGAAAUUAAUGACCACCUGUAGAGGUAUUAUCUGCAACUAUAGUUCCAUGUAUGAUUCCCAUGCUUCUAAUUUGCACACUGCGUGCUUGGUGAAUUAAUGUCGUUAUCUGUCCUUCGUUUUUAGGGUAUACAUCGGCUCCAGCAAAUUAGAUGGACGAAGCUACAUGUCUAGCUUAUCCUUCUGUUUGCCAAUGCCUUAUAAUGAAGCUUUUUGUCAUAACAGACGGUGCCUUAUACUGAGGUUUUUUGUAAUGUCAACGAUCCGUAGUCUGUAUCGAGUCUUUUGUAAUGACGUGUUCAGUUUGUACAGAUAUUGUGCUAUGUAAUUAGUGUAUGCUUCUCAAUUAUCUCCUGUUUAAACCGUACCACAACUAAUCAGAUUGUCUUAAUGAAUAAC